ACUGCUCAGUAACACGUGGAUAACCUGCCCUUGGGUCCGGCAUAACCCCGGGAAACUGGGGAUAAUUCCGGAUAACGCAUAUAUGCUGGAAUGCUUUAUGCGUGAAAUGGAUUCGUCUGCCCAAGGAUGGGUCUGCGGCCUAUCAGGUAGUAGUGGGUGUAAUGUACCUACUAGCCUACGACGGGUACGGGUUGUGAGAGCAAGAGCCCGGAGAUGGAUUCUGAGACAUGAAUCCAGGCCCUACGGGGCGCAGCAGGCGCGAAAACUUUACAAUGCGGGAAACCGUGAUAAGGGGACACCGAGUGCCAGCAUCCUAUGCUGGCUGUCCGGGUGUGUAAAAUACACCUGUUAGCAAGGGCCGGGCAAGACCGGUGCCAGCCGCCGCGGUAACACCGGCGGCCCGAGUGGUGAUCGUGAUUAUUGGGUCUAAAGGGUCCGUAGCCGGUUUGGUCAGUCCUCCGGGAAAUCUGACAGCUCAACUGUUAGGCUUUCGGGGGAUACUGCCAGACUUGGAACCGGGAGAGGUAAGAGGUACUACAGGGGUAGGAGUGAAAUCUUGUAAUCCCUGUGGGACCACCUGUGGCGAAGGCGUCUUACCAGAACGGGUUCGACGGUGAGGGACGAAAGCUGGGGGCACGAACCGGAUUAGAUACCCGGGUAGUCCCAGCCGUAAACGAUGCUCGCUAGGUGUCAGGCAUGGCGCGACCGUGUCUGGUGCCGCAGGGAAGCCGUGAAGCGAGCCACCUGGGAAGUACGGCCGCAAGGCUGAAACUUAAAGGAAUUGGCGGGGGAGCA
rnacentral:rRNA from 1 species